UGCUUUCUCUGCGAGGAAUACUCAAAGACCACCAUACCUUGAUCCUCCAUGUGUCAAAAGUCAGCCUAAAGAUUGACUUCUGAGCAUCCAGCACCCUGAAAAGAAGACACGACACAUUUAUUUUUCUGUCUGGAUGUGACACCACGUCAGAGACAGGUUGCUAGCUUUGAGCAGAAAUCUUAUUUCAUCUCUGGCAUGUAUGUGAGGGCUGUUUCUUCUAGGAAUUGAACAGGAUGGUACCGGCUGAGGAAUUAACAAAAGGCAUUAAUGCCAUUUUUGCUGUCUGGAUCGAUGCUGGCAGACGUACAGUUGCCCUACUUGGUAGUUGAAUGGACAGGUGACUGGGUGGAUCACCCUCAAAUCUUUGAACACUGGACCCAGCUUUAAAGUAUGAUUUUUCAUCCUGCUUUCACCACUAAAUCAAUCUGACAGAGAUGAAGGACAGCCCUUUUUGACCCUACGUGCUGGAAGGGAAUCACACAAGCCUCCAAAUGACCACUCAUUUUCUGGGGCAAGGAAUGUGCCGGGGGCUAAAAGCACAAAGGCCAU